rnacentral:rRNA from 1 species
ACCCACCUGGGUUGAAAACCGGGGGGAUGACCUGUGGUUAGGGGUGAAAGGCCAAUCAAACUUCGUGAUAGCUGGUUCUCCCCGAAAUGCAUUUAGGUGCAGCCCCGGCAUAGGGCGCUGCGGAGGUAUCGCGCUGGAUCGACGAGGGGGCUACUCGCUUACCGACUCGAACCAAACGACGAAUGCCGCAGCGAUGGUGCCGGGCGUGAGACAGCGGGUGCGAAGAUUCGUUGUCGAGAGGGAAACAGCCCAGACCGCCAGCUAAGGUCCCCAACUACGGACUAAGUGGGCAAGGU